UUUCUUACUUCCUAUAAUUAAGUACAGGGAAGGCUAGAAAAAAAAUAAUAAAGCCCAUAACCUACAACCUAUAGUAGCUUUUGACUAUCUCUGAUUAGAAGAAAACACACCCCAUCUUGCUCAUCAUACAUUCCUUGAAUUCAGGGAUUUGACAAUUUUACUCAAUCACAAAAGUUUCAUCUAUAAAACCAAUCUAAGUUCGUAAUACAUAUGCAUACACAAUCAAAACUCUUUGUUUUAUCCUAGACAUACUCCCUUUGAAUUACCACCGUGAACCACCAUGAAGACCACCGCACAUUAGCCGCCGUCCUGUUCGGAGUCCACAGCAAGACCACAAACCUCGCCACCGUGGGUUUUGCCGUAGUUCGAACACCGCCCGUCUCGACAUCCAUUGUUUCAGCCACCGCACGCCCCACACCGCCGUCGGGUUUACUCUUUUCCGAUUCGACCCAAGCCGAGAUGUAGAUUUCAUCUUUUGUUUUGUUUUGUUUUUUUUACUAGUUGCGACGGUUGGGUUGUCUCGUUGGAAUGCCGGCACUAAAAAAAUUAACAAAGAGAAAGAGAUGAGCGAUUGCUUUGUUUUGGUUUGGCGUGUGUAUGGAUUAAAGUAUAGCUUUAUAUAUGCAUGGAUGUAGGUGUGUAUAAAAAAAAGAAGGGAAUUCAAUCAGAGCAUGUGUGUACAAGUGUGAUAUGCAUGUGUGUGUGUCUAGUAUGUGUGAAAUGUGUUUGUAUAGAGUUUUGUGUGGUCUGAUGUAUGCGUGAGUCAUAUAUUGUGUGUGUUAAAUGUUGAAUUUGGUUGUAUCCAACUAUAGGUCUUGCUUUUGA
rnacentral:lncRNA from 1 species